CUUACAAAGCAACAUACGGACUUGGUUGGGUUACAAACUGCUCUGUGAUCUUACUGCCUGUGAACUUCCACCCAGAGGAGAGAGGAAGCUUCCCAGGGCCAGGAUGGCACCAGCCAGUGCAAGGUCGAUGGUUAUAAAUAUUCGGCAGACACAGAGAUUGCAGUCAGAACACGAGAAGUCUCUGCAGUGACACAAGUCCUUACGUGCAGGGAGCGGAGCCUCCCAGGACCGGGCAGUGUGAAGCGGGAACAGCCUGGAAGCUGGAGGAAGAGGAUCUGGGAGCGGCACGCUGACAAUAAACCCAAACCAGAACGACAUGUAGACGGAGGCAGAGUACAUGUUAUCAUCUCCCCAUUUUACAGCAGAACAAACAGGCUCAGAGAGUACAUAGGUAUUUUCUCAGAGUCUCAUAACAGGAUAAAGAGGGCACUGAGUCGGUGAGCGCGCUGAGGGCGAAGCUGGAAAUUCCCGCGACAUCAUCCUGGCCCUGACUCAGAAGUAAUGAGUGUUGGAGAAUCCUGGGCACCCAUGGAUACCAUUGCUGCUGGCUGAUGUCUGCCAAGAGAGAGGCUGUGCCUUCUUAGCCUGAAUUCUUUACUUUCGAAACAAAUGAGUUGUAACAUGUCACACCUGAUUAUGACAAUGCAGUUUGAGAACCAACCAACC